rnacentral:rRNA from 1 species
AACGAACGCUGGCGGCAUGCCUAACACAUGCAAGUCGAACGAAGCCUUCGGGCUUAGUGGCGCACGGGUGCGUAACGCGUGGGAAUCUGCCCUUGGGUUCGGAAUAACAGUUAGAAAUGACUGCUAAUACCGAAUGAUGUCUUCGGACCAAAGAUUUAUCGCCCAAGGAUGAGCCCGCGUCGGAUUAGCUAGUUGGUGAGGUAAAGGCUCACCAAGGCGACGAUCCGUAGCUGGUCUGAGAGGAUGAUCAGCCACACUGGGACUGAGACACGGCCCAGACUCCUACGGGAGGCAGCAGUGGGGAAUAUUGGACAAUGGGCGAAAGGCCUGAUCCAGCAAUGCCGCGUGAGUGAUGAAGGCCUUAGGGUUGUAAAGUCUCUUUUACCCGGGUAUGAUAAUGACAGUAACCGGGAGAAUAAGCCCCGGCCUAACUCCGUGCCAGCAGCCGCGGUAAU